rnacentral:rRNA from 1 species
GCACAAGCGGUGGAGUAUGUUGUUUAAUUCGAGGAUACACGAAGAACCUUACCAGGUCUUGACAUACCAUUGACCGUUCUAGAGAUAGAAUUUUCCCUUUCGGGGACAAUGGAUACAGGUGGUGCAUGGUUGUCGUCAGCUCGUGCCGUGAGGUGUUGGGUUAAGUCCCGCAACGAGCGCAACCCUUAUCGAUAGUUGCUAAUAUUAAGUUAAGGACUCUAUUGAGACUGCCAGCGACAAGCUGGAGGAAGGUGGGGAUGACGUCAAAUCAUCAUGCCCUUUAUGACCUGGGCUACAAACGUACUACAAUGGCCAAAUACAAAGAGAUGCGAAGCCGCGAGGUGGAGCGAACCUCAUAAAAAUGGUCUCAGUUCGGAUUGGAGUCUGCAACUCGACUCCAUGAAGUCGGAAUCGCUAGUAAUCGCGAGUCAGCAGAUCGCGGUGAAUACGUUCCCGGGUUUU